CAGCCGCCGCGGUAAUACCGGCGGCCCGAGUGGCGGUCACUAUUAUUGGGCUUAAAGCGUCCGUAGCCGGGUUGGGAAGUCCUCCGGGAAAUCUGGCCGCUUAACGGUCAGAAUGCCGGAGGAUACUCCCAGCCUAGGGAGCGGGAGAGGCCGAGGGUAUUCCCGGAGUAGGGGGGAAAUCCUAUAAUCCCGGGAGGACCACCUGUGGCGAAGGCGCUCGGCUGGAACGCGUCCGACGGUGAGGGACGAAGGCCAGGGGAGCAAACCGGAUUAGAUACCCGGGUAGUCCUGGCUGUAAACGAUGCGGACUUUGUGUCGGACAAGCUAUGAGCUGGUCCGGUGCCGGAGGGAAACCGUUAAGUCCGCCGCCUGGGGAGUACGGCCGCAAGGCUGAAACUUAAAGGAAUUGGCGGG
rnacentral:rRNA from 1 species